AUUGAACGCUGGCGGCAUGCUUUACACAUGCAAGUCGAACGGCAGCGGGGGCUUCGGCCUGCCGGCGAGUGGCGAACGGGUGAGUAAUGCAUCGGAACGUGCCCAUGCCGUGGGGGAGAACUACGCGAAAGCGUGGCGAAUACCCCAUACGCGCGGAGCGGGAAAGCGGGGGAUCUUUCGGGACCUCCGGCGAUUGGAGCGGCCGAUGUCGGAUUAGCUAGUUGGUGGGGUAAAGGCUCACCAAGGCGACGAUCCGUAGCUGGUCUGAGAGGAUGAUCAGCCACACUGGGACUGAGACACGGCCCAGACUCCUACGGGAGGCAGCAGUGGGGAAUUUUGGACAAUGGGCGCAAGCCUGAUCCAGCCAUGCCGCGUGAGUGAAGAAGGCCUUCGGGUUGUAAAGCUCUUUCGGCCGGGAAGAAAUCGCAUUCUCUAAUAUAGGAUGUGGAUGACGGUACCGGACUAAGAAGCACCGGCUAACUACGUGCCAGCCGCCGCAGUAAGAC
rnacentral:rRNA from 1 species